GACGAACGCUGGCGGCGUGCUUAACACAUGCAAGUCGAACGAAGAGCGAUGGAAGCUUGCUUCUAUCAAUCUUAGUGGCGAACGGGUGAGUAACGCGUAAUCAACCUGCCCUUCAGAGGGGGACAACAGUUGGAAACGACUGCUAAUACCGCAUACGAUCUAAUCUCGGCAUCGAGGAAAGAUGAAAGGUGGCCUCUAUUUAUAAGCUAUCACUGAAGGAGGGGAUUGCGUCUGAUUAGCUAGUUGGAGGGGUAACGGCCCACCAAGGCGAUGAUCAGUAGCCGGUCUGAGAGGAUGAACGGCCACAUUGGGACUGAGACACGGCCCAGACUCCUACGGGAGGCAGCAGUGGGGAAUCUUCCGCAAUAGACGAAAGUCUGACGGAGCAACGCCGCGUGAGUGAUGACGGCCUUCGGGUUGUAAAGCUCUGUUAAUCGGGACGAAAGGCCUUCUUGCGAACAGUUAGAAGGAUUGACGGUACCGGAAGAGAAAGCCACGGCUAACUACGUG
rnacentral:rRNA from 1 species